UUGAAGACUGUAUUAUUUCCCUAUUUCUGCCUUAACAAAUUACCACAAACCAAGUGGCUUACAGCAACAUAAAGUUAUUGUUUUACAAUUCUGGAGCUCAGAAGUCUAAAAUAAAGGGCAGCAGAGUUGUUUUCCCUCUGGAGGCUUUAGGGAAAGAUCUAUUUCCUCACGUUUUUUAGCUUCCAGUGGCUGUCUGUAUUCCUUGGCUUGUGGCCCCCUCCUCCACCUCCAAAGCACACAGCUCUGAUUUUUUACUUCCAUCAUUACAUCACCUUCUCCUCUUCUGCAGUAAAAUCUCCCUCCACCCCUCUCUUUAAAGGACACUUGAGACUACAUUUAGGAUCUACUCUGAUAAUCCAAGAAAAAAUCCUUGACUUAAUGACAUCUGCAAGGCCCCUUUUGUCAUAUAAGGUAACAUUCAUGGGUUCCUAUGAUUAGAACUUGGCUAUUUUGGGGGACCAUUAGUAAGCUGACCACAGUUGUAAUUGAAAUAGCUUUGUGUAAUAAUUUAGUACGUCUGGGAUGUGUCCCAUGCGUUUGCCAUUUUUACAAGUAGGUUAAGUGAUCACAAAGUGAUCCACAAUUCAUGUGCAUGGAAUGCUUUGAAGUGGGAUUUAAAAUGAAUUUAAUGGAGAACUAAAUGCAUAUAGAGUCUUUCAUUUAAUACUCUAUUAGGAGAGUUUCCAUUGAGAAUUUCUGUGUUUCCUUUGUCUAUGUGUAACACACAUUUUUCUACAGGGUCAUUUGAUUUAAAUGAUAAUGUUUUUCAAAGUAAGAUACUGAAAUAGUACUAAUUGUUUACAUGCAUAUAAUGCUUCAUUGUUAACAAGGACCUUUUCUCCCAGGCUGUUUGAGCUUACUAUGGCUACUGUAACAAGUUACCACAGAUUCAGUGGCUUAAAACAAUGCAAAUGUAUUAUCUUACAGUUUCGGAGGUCAGUCCAAAAUGAACCUUACAAGGCUAAAACCUAGAGACUGCUUGCAUUCCCUGGCCCCUAACCCCCUCCUCCAUCUUCAAACCACUUCACUCUAACCUCUGCUUCUGUGGUCACAUCUCCUUUUCUGACUUUAGACAUCUUGCCUCCCUCUUAAAAGAAUUUCUGUAAUUACAUGGGGCCCACCCAGAUAAUCCAGAAUAAUCUUUCCAUUUUAAAAUCCUUUACUUCAUCCUAUUUACAAAGUCCCUUUGCCACAUAAGGUAAUGUAGUCAUAGGUUCCAGAGUUCUGGAAUGCAGACAUCUUCCAGGACCCAAUGGCUAAGGCCUUCCCCAGUGAAAGCUUCAGAUGAGAGGCCAGUGCAGGACAGCACCUUCUUUGCAACCUUGCAGAGGACACAGUUAAAGCUGUGGUUCUGACCUACAGAAACUGUGAGGUAAUAAGUGUGUGUUCUAAGCUGCUAAACUUGUGCUAAUGUCAUUACAUGGUGAUAGAUAAUGAACACAACAUCCACAGAUUCUCCCCCAAGUUUAUGAAGUGUGUUGCUGUGCAAAAUGACUUUAGGACAUGUCCGCUAGCAGUGGGCUCUAGCCAGAUGGUUGCUUUUGAGCCCCACUACUUGGAGUGGCGAGUAUAACCUUAAUCACCUGCAGAUCCAUCUGUGACAGAGGUGCACAGGAUCUGACGAGUGAUGUGUGUGCCGCCGGGAAGACUUGUACAUCACUGGAUGUCAGCUUUCUGCCAAUGACCAGCCUCAAUCCUCUUAAGGUCCUAUUUGUUAUUGUAGUCUAGCAGUGGGCAACAUUGUUAUAAAGAACCCUGUCUGCUGUACACAACAAAUUCUUAGUGAUCUGGAAUUCACUCCUUGGGAAUUUGUAACUUUGCUGAAGUUAAUAGUCAUCAUCAGAAUAUGAUUUUAUGUAUAUAUUUGAUUUUACAGUUUCAUUUAUUCAUUCAGUAAAUAUAUAUUUAGUACAAGCAUGUGCCAAGAGACAGUCUGGUCCCUGGGAAUGUGACGAUGAAGAAUACAGAUGAGGUUCCUGUACUUAUUAAAUGUCAUGUUUAUGUAGGCACCAUUCAUUCUGUGAAAUAGGCAGAACAGCUGUUUUUAAAAACUUGUGUUGUUCAAAUACCAGCAAAACAGAAAAUGGUGUAAAAAUUAUUAUAAGGCAAAUGCCAUGUUUUAGUCUGUUUUGUGUUGCUAUAACAGAAUAUCACAGACUCUGUAAUUUUUUUUUUUAAACAAACAUAUUUCUCACAGUUCUGGCAGCUGUGAAAACCAGUAUCAAGGUGCUGGCACCUGGCAAGAGCCUUCUUGCUGCGUCAUCUCAUGGCUGAAGGUGAGAAGAAUUCUAGAGGCUGCAAAGCUCAAGAUCAAGGUGCCAGCUGAUUCCGUGUCUGGUGAGGGCUAACUUCCUGGUUUGCAGAUGGCAGUCUUCUUGUUUCAGCUUCACAUGUUGGAAAGAAAGAUCCAGGGUCUCCUCCUCUUUUUAUAAGGGAGCAAACCCCAUUCAUAGAGGACACAUUAUCAUGACCAGAUCAUUUUCCAAAGUCCCCACCUCCAAAUACCAUAACACUGGGGAUUAGAGCUUCAGCAUAUGAAUCUUAUGGGUACAAAAACAUUUGGUACAUAAUACCCAGUUACCAAAAAUGUAUGCCUAAUAAAUUUUAGAGAUUCAG